GGCAUGGAAGCAUACAUGGUUCUUGUAUCAGCAGAAGAAAGGCUGCAGGGCAGAACCGGGGCAGGGGGCUUUACAGCGUUGCCAGGAGGCACCAACUCGGUUUCCCUGCAGCAGGCACAUCUCUCCUCUUUGAGAAACACUGGACUGUUAGGCUUGACUAAGCCAAGUGCCUGUCCUAGGCUGCCUUAAAAGAUCACUUGGUUAUGCUGGAGAAGACUAUGGAUUAAACUGGACUGAAACCAUCACCAUUAGUGGCUUUUAUUUUAAGGAAAAAAGAUUAGAACCUAAGCCUUGACCUCCAAUGCCAAUUUCAAACAUCCUGCUGGUUUUGAUGGAGCCAGAAUGUCA